GUCUCCGAGUCUCCGAGUCUCCGAGUGUUCGAGUCGAGUCGAGUCGAGUAGAGUCGGGCCGUUAGUAUCGUCGCUAGAAAGAAUGGUAGUAAUGCGUAUCGCGGAGUACCGUGCACCUUGAAGGACGUUCGUCAUCGUCGAGUCGAGUCACUCGUCCCGUUAAUUUUUCUCGAUUCCGACGAGAUCGAGUCCAGCAAUCCUGGAAGCUGGACAAAUCGGUGAACAGUUCGUGACCCGUUUCGCGAGGAUCUUUCGUCACGGAUGCUCGACAAGUUGGAGGACGACGCGAGGACGACUACCUGUAUCGCUGAACAUCGUAGUAGCUGAUAGUGGUGUGAGGUGAACUCGACGAAGAAACGAAAUAAGAAUCGAACGAGGAAAAAUCGAAAAGAAGAGGAUACCAAGAUGCCCUGUUCAGCGGUGACGCUGUCCCUCGCGACCAUAACCGGUAUCAUCGCCACUGGCCUCUUAGCCAUCGCUUUUUCCACGGACAACUGGCUCUAUACGGAGGUCAAACGUGCCCAAAUCCAGCAAUAUGCAGCCAAGCAUGCCGAGCAGAGCCACUUGGUGGAGCAAAUGAACACGAAAUAUUACUACUACACAAGAACGCAAGGUCUCUUCAGGAUAUGCUAUCCCAAAGAAAGACCACCAACCGUUCAAACCUAUCUGAGUCCUGUGGAGACCCACUGCAUGAACAUUAAUUACUUCAUCCCGGACGAAGAGAAUCUUACAAGAGGCUUUUCCGACGAUGCAAUGACUCGACUUCACAUGGGCAGAUCCGUGAUAGCUCUGUUUAUAGUGGGAUUCGUUGCCAUCUUUACGGCAUUCUGGACAGGUGUAGUAGGCUGUUGGAAGAGGUCACCAGGAAAUAUCACAGCCACCGCAAUUUUAAUGUUACUAGCAUGUCUGUUAAGCGCUAGCGGUAUGGGACUUUGGCACGGAGUGGAAUACUACGAGAAAGAGAAGAUCGUAGGCGAGGAAUAUUAUCAACAAUGGAGCAACGUUUUAAGGGACAACACGGUGCAGUGGUACGGCUGGUCGUUCUACCUUGCCUGGCUGGGGGUGGCUACGUGUUUCGGCACGAUGAUGCUAUUCCUGAUCGCGGCAUCCUGCCUGCGACGGGAGCAUGCCCGCGAACAGGCACAGAACGUUCAGUACAUAAUGCCAGGUCCUGAAGGACAACUCGCUAAUCUCGUACGACUGGUCGUACGUGGUCGCUUGGGUCGGCGUCGGUUGGUCGUUGGUCAGCGCGAUCUUGUUUAGCGCCGCCGCGAUUUGCUUGAGGGGCGAAAGAAUGCGCGAGGAGGCGAUGAACAUGCAGUACCUCAUGCCUGUAUAUCCGCAAAAACAACAGUACGCUUACGCCGGUUAUCCAGCACCGGCGGCAUACCCUGGACCGUACUACCACGGAUCGCAAUACGG
rnacentral:misc_RNA from 1 species